GCCAUUAGCAGUUUUGUCCCUUCUUUCUCCCAACCCCAACUGAUCUCCAUAACAUACAAGCUCUGCCCACAGAUUGCAAAUUCCAUAAAUAACAUCAGGUAUGCAAGCAAGGAUUUUCUUUUCCCAUGUUUACUAAGUUAGCAGAGAUUGUAUUACUAAUUAUCUUUUCACCUUUUUUCCCAGUGUAAGAUCUUUGAAGCUGAGGAUGAAGCAUAGCAAGCAACGGUCAGAAAUCUGCACAAAAAUUUUCUGCAGUUAGAAAUUUGUUGCAUCUAAAGGUACUUAAAUUUACUGCUUUAAGCUGCCAAGUAGCUACUGCUGUGUGAUGUAGUUGGUGCCAUGAACCCUAGACAACAUGCCCUAUUUAGUUUGAUUUAACAAGACACAGUUUAGUUAUAUGGUUAGCGGAGGAUUGAUGUCUGAAAUUACUAUGGAGUUGUACUUUUCAUUUGUUGUCUGGGUGUGCUUGGAAGUGACUCCUCAACUUGACACUAAUUUGAACUGUCAACUGUGUUUGGAUAGAUAGACAGUACUGUACCUGAAGAUGGUGAUGGCAUCAAAACCCCACUUUGGAUUGCUUGAUUGUCGUAGGAAUAAUUUCCUGAAUCUAGUCGAAAAUAUCAAACUACAUAUAUCAAGUCCAUAACCAAUUGAAAUCUACAAGCUCACUGCACAUAUGGCCUGAAAUCAAGUCUCUCUCUCUCUCUCCACCUCUCUUAAAUUCAGAAUUUUUUAAAGAAAAAUAUGACCUUUUCAGACCAACCAAACAACAAGGUUUUCUUCAUGUCAGAGCAUUGUCUCAGGCUGAAAUGAACCGUGACAGGAAACAUGAGACUUAUAAUUGAUGUCCUAUAUUAAUUUCUACAUACAAUAAUACUACCAGUGCAAAACAUCAAAUUGCAUUCUAGCCAUCUGAUCAAUGCAAAACUAAGAGAAGGAAUUAAUUAUUUCUUUUAUUUCAGAGAAAAUUAGAAGAGCACAGUUCAUAUUACUACCACGAAGAUGUUCCUAGUCUAAAUUGCUCAAUUAAGCUGGCUAAGGUAAAUACGAUUAUUCAAGUGGUAAUUUUUUGUGUUUGCCUAAUCAAAACCCUUAGGCAUUCCUAAAACAUGGCUGCUAAGGAUAUGAUUUGUUAAACAUAAACAAGCAAUUUAUUGAAAUAUAUUAUUGUGAAUCUAAAAAUCUCAUUAAUGACCGCCGGACUUCCUCUAUCUAGGGCGAGGCCGGGUCCAAGAGAAGGAUGCUAGCCCAAAGCCCAUCAAGCUUUCCUUAAGCAGACCGACCCAGUAUCUCAAGCCCUGAUCCGAACAUGCGGGGCAGGCUAAGCUCAUCAUAAACCCGGGACCAACGAGAAGUAAUCUAGCCCAAUGAUGUGACGUGAAGGAGAAUAGUUGGCCCAGUCACUUCGCAGCCUGUCCGCAUGCGUGCUGGAAAAAUUAAAUGCGGAGAAAUUAAAUGGCCGCCUAACGUAGAGAGGGGUCUGACACACCCGUACGUACGGACCUGAGUGACAGAGACAAGUGGCACUGUAGCAGAUAAACGGUUAGACGUCACUAGCUGACAAAAGGAAAAGGGGAAAAACGUCUUCCUCUUCAUCUAAGCUUACACAACCGGAAAAGGAAUAGGAAGAACGUCUUCCUCUCCAUCUAAGCUUACACAACCACUGUAAAUUCUAUUUUCUGGAUCUUAGAACAUCACCAUCACCCCAUAGACAGACCACCCCCAUAGACAGACAUCCCCCUCUCAUUUCAACUUUGGAUCCUUAACUCAACAUUCCUCAAUUGAUUCUACAAGUACCAAAUUCUACUAAUGUUGUCAUUCUCCUCCAAUCCUUUUUAUUACUCCUCCUCACAACUUGUGGUGCAUUGGAGUUUUGGUGCUAUUGGCGUCAAAAUCUGUGGAGAUUGCCAUCCUCCAAGUAAAUUUACAUAUUGUCCCUCAACUUAAGGCAUCGUAGCAACAUGAUUUUUGAACUUCAAUUUGUAAGAUAAUUUCUUUUUACAUAGUAAAUUGCUUGCCUAUAAUGGUUGAUUUACAGGUUACAAGCUGACAUGGCUUGUCCUCUCUCUCUUCAUCUUCAUCUUCCUCAAUUUCAAUAUUGUUUUCCUCAUCUUCCUCACAAACAACAAAAUAGCAAGCUUGAUUUAUCAAAGUAUAUACCCUAUUCCACCAGCUUCAAAAACUUGUCAUUGUUUCCCGACUUCUUAGCAACUAAAAUCUCAUUGAGGAGAGAGAAGAAAAAAGAAAAGGGACGGCAAGCACAAGAUAUAGAAGUUGAUCAAUUGAUUCUUAUGUUUAUCAAUGAGCAUUGCCUUAGGUAACUUGACCAUUAACCUACCAAAAACCAAAACAAAUGGAAAAAAAUCCAUAAUUCUAUUGGAAAAUCCUCAAAAUAUCAUAAAUAGGAUUCUCAAUCAAAAAGUGAACCAACAAUGCAAAACCACCAUUUGAAGAUAAAAUCCUUGAGAGCAUCAAUUCUCCUACGCAAUAUAUCAUUCAAAUGGGAUAUAUUCGAGGAUCUUGCAUAUUAGAUGUUUAAACCAAAUGAAUGCAUCAAUUCAUUUUGAUCUUUCUAGUUCAAUUUGAUUCUCAAUUUCUCAUACAAGCACCAUAUAAGUGUUCCAAAUUGUUGUAAUAUCAUUUGAAAAAUCCAUUUUAGAGGAAAAAUGCAAAUGAAUUGUUGUAGAAAUUGUAUAUUAGGUCAAUAAAUAUGUGCAAACAUAGUUGAGGAACUCGAUGAAAUUAUAAGGGCAGUACCAUAAGUUCCUACCGGAAUAGCCUCCCCCCCUCCAUCGAUGCGAGUUAGUUUCACAAUAUACAUUCUCUCUAUUAAUUUUAGAUUGGACUUCUCUAUUACAAAUUGUUCACUUUAAUUAGACAUGUCUAUAAAUUAAUCAAAUAUUUUGAAAUUCAAAACAAAAUUAUAUUUGGCUUGUAGAUCCACAUACCCAACAUGGAAAAUUGUUGACUUGAACAAAGGAUUUAUCAACAGGCUUGACAUGAACCAACUCAAUUAAAUCUUGCUUGCAAGAUGGGCUGAACUUGGGAUUUAUUUAGUAAUAAGGCUGGGUAUGGUGUGUUAUGGUUAUCAAUUAAUCAACUUUCAUGUACUUGAUAAUAGACUUAUACAUGGAUUUGUCAAGCCACCAGCUUGACUUAAAUUAUCAAGUUUUUGGAUUUCUUUUCCUCUCCUUAAGACUCAACUUGAUCCUAUUGUCUGAAGCUUGCUAAGCGUGGUGUUACAGAUUCACGUUUAAUUAAGGCUUUGACAAACCCAAUCCAGUUUGAUAGAAAGUCAUAUAUAACUUUUAUAAUUUAUGAUGACAAUGAUUUCCACCAUUAAAUUAGAGAUCAUCAAUUUAUCUAAUGAUAGUUAUUGAAUAUUUACCUAAAUGAACCUUAGAGUACUAGAAAUAAAAAAAUAACAAUGAAGUUUUUUAAAAAUUAAAAUAAAAUAAAAUAAAAUAAAACAAAACUACCAUGAUCCUUUCCUAUCUUCCCCUAGGGAAAUAGGAAUAAAGUACUAGUAGCAUGGCUUAUGCCCAUAGGAAUACUUUGGAACAUUAUUUGAACCACUUUUUUUGCAUAUAAUAUUGGUAAAUUUUCAAUACUUUGUCUAAUUCACAUAUCUACAGAAUAACUACGCCAUGCAAUGCAUCAAAUAAGCACAAAGGGAGAACGGAACAAAGAAAACAAUAUUCACAAUACUCGCAUC
rnacentral:lncRNA from 1 species